rnacentral:rRNA from 1 species
AGGAUGAACGCUGGCGGCGUGCCUAAUACAUGCAAGUCGAGCGAACGGACGAGAAGCUUGCUUCUCUGAUGUUAGCGGCGGACGGGUGAGUAACACGUGGAUAACCUACCUAUAAGACUGGGAUAACUUCGGGAAACCGGAGCUAAUACCGGAUAAUAUUUUGAACCGCAUGGUUCAAAAGUGAAAGACGGUCUUGCUGUCACUUAUAGAUGGAUCCGCGCUGCAUUAGCUAGUUGGUAAGGUAACGGCUUACCAAGGCAACGAUGCAUAGCCGACCUGAGAGGGUGAUCGGCCACACUGGAACUGAGACACGGUCCAGACUCCUACGGGAGGCAGCAGUAGGGAAUCUUCCGCAAUGGGCGAAAGCCUGACGGAGCAACGCCGCGUGAGUGAUGAAGGUCUUCGGAUCGUAAAACUCUGUUAUUAGGGAAGAACAUAUGUG